GACAGAGGGUGCAAACGUUGUUCGGAAUUACUGGGCGUAAAGCGCGUGUAGGCGGUUAUGCAAGUCGGGUGUGAAAGCCCUGGGCUCAACCCAGGAAGUGCAUUCGAAACUCCCGAACUGGAGUCCUGGAGAGGAAGGCGGAAUUCUCGGUGUAGAGGUGAAAUUCGUAGAUAUCGAGAGGAACAUCGGUGGCGAAGGCGGCCUUCUGGACAGUGACUGACGCUGAGACGCGAAAGCGUGGGGAGCAAACAGG
rnacentral:rRNA from 1 species